rnacentral:rRNA from 1 species
AUUGAACGCUGGCGGCAGGCCUAACACAUGCAAGUCGAGCGGAUGAAGGGAGCUUGCUCCUGGAUUCAGCGGCGGACGGGUGAGUAAUGCCUAGGAAUCUGCCUGGUAGUGGGGGAUAACGUCCGGAAACGGGCGCUAAUACCGCAUACGUCCUGAGGGAGAAAGUGGGGGAUCUUCGGACCUCACGCUAUCAGAUGAGCCUAGGUCGGAUUAGCUAGUUGGUGGGGUAAAGGCCUACCAAGGCGACGAUCCGUAACUGGUCUGAGAGGAUGAUCAGUCACACUGGAACUGAGACACGGUCCAGACUCCUACGGGAGGCAGCAGUGGGGAAUAUUGGACAAUGGGCGAAAGCCUGAUCCAGCCAUGCCGCGUGUGUGAAGAAGGUCUUCGGAUUGUAAAGCACUUGAGGUUGGGAGGAAGGGCAGUAAGUCAAUACCUUGUUGUUUUGACGUUACCAACAGAAUAAGCACCGGCUAACUUCGUG